UACGUAGGGGACGAGCGUUGUCCGGAAUUACUGGGCGUAAAGGGCGCGCAGGCGGUAUAUCAAGUCAGCUGUCAAAGACUGGGGCUCAACCCUGGUAUGCGGUUGAAACUGAUAUGCUGGAGUGCUGUAGAGGCAAGUGGAAUUCCCAGUGUAGCGGUGAAAUGCGUAGAUAUUGGGAGGAACACCGGUGGCGAAGGCGACUUGCUGGGCAGCAACUGACGCUGAGGCGCGAAAGCCAGGGGAGCAAACGGGAUUAGA
rnacentral:rRNA from 1 species